AUUGAACGCUGGCGGCAUGCCUAACACAUGCAAGUCGAACGGUAACGCGGAGAGCUUGCUCUCUGGCGACGAGUGGCGGACGGGUGAGUAAUACUUAGGAAUCUGCCCAGUAGUGGGGGACAACUCGAGGAAACUCGAGCUAAUACCGCAUACGCCCUACGGGGGAAAGCGGGGGAUCUUCGGACCUCGCGCUAUUGGAUGAGCCUAAGUCGGAUUAGCUUGUUGGUGAGGUAAAGGCUCACCAAGGCGACGAUCCGUAGCUGGUCUGAGAGGACGAUCAGCCACACUGGGACUGAGACACGGCCCAGACUCCUACGGGAGGCAGCAGUGGGGAAUAUUGGACAAUGGGCGCAAGCCUGAUCCAGCAAUGCCGCGUGUGUGAAGAAGGCCUGCGGGUUGUAAAGCACUUUCAGUAGAGAAGAAAAGCCUACGGUUAAUACCCGUGAGUCUUGACGUAACCUACAGAAGAAGCACCGGCAAACUCCGUG
rnacentral:rRNA from 1 species